GAGUUCAGAGGUGUGCUCUUCGGAUAAAACAAUAAGUGGUAUUCUAAUUAAUGACAUCACUGAUCAUCUACCAGUCUUUAUCAUCUAUGAUUACAACCACACCAAUAGAAAGAAAAAUAAUCAAAAAGAAUAUCGGA